CAGAAAUGCCAACAAAGAUUUCAGGUUUAUGUUCAGGUGGCUCAGGUGAGCACCAUUUCUGGAUAGAUAAAGGACCCAAUUCACUCGGGCAAUAUUUCUCACUUUUUUUAUUUCUUUUUUUGUUUCAGGGUAGAAUGAAAUAACGCUUCAAAAAAUCACGAUUACCCAAGAUAGUGAUGCCAAAUCCCCUAACUGCAGUUUAUAAAUAUGAUGCACAUGGGAAUAUACGCUUCGUGGCUCACCUGGUACCUUUGGUAGCUAGGUGUCCAUCAGCACGCCCUUUAGAGAAUACUUCUGUGUAUCCAAAGGAAACACAGCCAGCUAGCAGCAAAAAUCUUCCUAACUCCAACACUGCUUCUUUUACAGCCACUUUAUAAACAACCACAGCGAGGCAGUGUCAGGAGAAACCAGGGCAGACAGUUUCACAGGGAAUUUUCUGCUCCUUGUGGCUGUUAUCCUCUCGAGCUCCUGCUCAUUACAAGCAGAUGACCCUGAGGAUACAGCUUCUGCCAUCGCUCUCUCCUGUCACUGUUCACAAUUAUUAUUAAUAUUGAAAGCAAUGCCAAGAAUGCACCCCAUUUCCAAACAGUUGUUGAAGGGAAAGUUUUGAAAUGCCUGUGUAUGCAAAGCUCCUGCACAAGCAGCAGUGAGGCAGAAUGUGUGGGGGUUGUUACGCAGUGCUUGCACUACCGCAGCCUUCGAGGCAGGCUAAAGAGAGCUAAAACUGGUUAAAACAACACCUCUCCAGGCUUACAUAACAACACUUGCUCUGACUUGCAAAAUCUUCUCUGUAUGUUUUUAAUGUACCGGGAAGAAAACUUUCUUUGCUAUAAGCAUGCUUUGUUUCACCUUUCAAAAUAACCUGUGGGUAUUUUGGCUGAGUUUUUAUGGCCCUCAGCACAAUAAGCUUUAGCAGAUUAGCACUUGUCCAAGGAAUUAUCUUUUGCUGUGGUGAAGGUUUUGCAACAGCAAUUCUUCCAUCUGAACUCGGGCAAUGGAUUUACAGAACUGCUGCAUCCUUCGACUGCUGUGGUGUCUUCACAGAGAAUCACAGAAUCACAGAAUUGUAGGGGUUGGAAGGGACCUCCAGAGAUCAUUGAGUCCAACCCCCUGCCAAAGCAGGUUCCCUACACCAGGUCGCACAGGCAGCACACGAAGAAGCCUGUGUUGAAAUCAGGAAGCAACAGCUUUUAUUGCCUCACAAGAUCCUUCAGCACAGCGAGGUGUAUAAACCUUUGGAAAUAAUAAGAUUUGCAAGAUGUUACUGUGUGUACAGUGGGUUUUCUUCACUCAACAGCCAAACUCCGCUUUAAAGCAAGGAUUUAAGAUCUACAGCAGCAGCUGGUGGCAAUAUAGCAAAAUCUAAAUCUAGGAGACAACUCAACAGUUGUUUGUUUUGCUUUGAACUACGGAAGAAAAGAAAAAUCCACACCACAGAAGCAGAAAGAACCUCACCUAAGUUAACCUCACUUUCUCCCCUACCUUCACCUCAUCUUCACCCUCAAGUUACACAGAAAGUUUCCCUUAUGUCCCAAACAUAAAUGAAAGGUCAGACUGUAUCUUCACCUCCUGCCUACAAAAGCAUCAGGAAAUCUGUCUUCACAGUCCAUAAAAUACCAGUGAACGCAGAAAGAAAACAAGUUUGACAACACAUACAUAUUGCAUCAGACUUUUCUAAAUGCACAACCCCAACCUGUCCUCUGAAUCAUCAACCCAUCCUUUCUGAAGAAAAUGACACUUAAAGAAAACAGUCAAGAACCAAGUUACUGACAAAGAAUUAAGUAACAUACAUAGGAAUACGUAAGUGAGCAUACAAAUUGAGAAUGCUAAGAAAAAAAGCAAGAAGUUAUCAAUGUUUUUACUUCUAUUAAUAAAAAGGUGGUCACUCAUCCAGAUCAAUGGAUGGGCAAGCACUCAUUCAGCAGCACACCAAUUUGCUAACACAGUGGAUUAUCUCAAAGCAAGGCUCCAAAAACUACUGUAGCAUACAGAACUAAUGCCGGUUUCCAAUAUAAGCAACAAAUAAUGACCACAUUCCCCCCCUCCCAUUUUCAAUUAGCAAAAGGUCUUGCUAAGAAUAUUACAGGAAAAAUAAGCCUCUUUUUUUUUAUUUUGAAGUGAGAGAGGGAAGAAAUUGGAGACAAGUCAGUCUUGCCUUCCCUUCUGCUAUCAAUGGAUGAUAACUGGAAGUGCAACACCAAUACAAACCGUUUUAUCGAGCUUUAAUGACCAGAGUGGGACUAAGGGUACCAGAAGUGAACAGAAAUUAUUCUCUGCAGACGACAAGUAUAUGCAAUUUCCAUGCAGUACAAUUUAUUCUGAAAGGAGGAAGGAUACUCAAAUCUUCAGCAAAUUAAAAUACUGAACACACAUCAUUAUAACUUUGAAUGAAGAUACAAAUUGUAUCCAUGAUUUUAAGUGUCCUUACUCAAAGUAAUUAGAAUUUGACCAGUCUUUCCCAAUUAACAAAGCCAAUCAAAAAUCAUAUGUAACAGCUGCUUUAUUCCCAUGUCUUAUGAGAAAUAUUUAUUCCUAUCAUUGCUGAACAACUUUUAAACAUUUUUCUUACAUAUAAAAUCCUCCUUACUUUGUUUUCAGUAUUUUAAUUAAGAUACAAAUAUUGU